rnacentral:rRNA from 1 species
UAGUAACUGCGAGUGAAGCGGGAAAAGCUCAAAUUUAAAAUCUGGCGGUCUUUGGCCGUCCGAGUUGUAGUCUGGAGAAGCGUCUUCCGCGUUGGACCGUGUACAAGUCUCUUGGAACAGAGCGUCAUAGAGGGUGAGAAUCCCGUCUUUGACACGGACUACCAAUGCUUUGUGAUGCGCUCUCAAAGAGUCGCGUUGUUUGGGAAUGCAGCGCAAAAUGGGAGGUGAAUUCCUUCUAAAGCUAAAUAUUGGCGAGAGACCGAUAGCGAACAAGUACCGUGAGGGAAAGAUGAAAAGCACUUUGGAAAGAGAGUUAAACAGUACGUGAAAUUGCUAAAAGGGAAACGCUUGAAGUCAGUCGCGUCGUCCGGAACUCAGCUUUGCUUCGGCUUAGUGCACUUUCCGGUUGACGGGCCAGCAUCGAUUUUGACCGCUGGAAAAGGGCUGGAGGAAUGUGGCACCUUCGGGUGUGUUAUAGCCUUCAGUCGCAUACAGCGGUUGGGAUCGAGGAACGCAGCGCGCCUUAUGGCUGGGGUUCGCCCACAUUCGCGCUUAGGAUGCUGGCAUAAUGGCUUUAAACGACCCGUCUUGAAACACGGACCAAGGAGUCUAACAUGCCUGCGAGUGUUUGGGUGGAAAACCCGAGCGCGUAAUGAAAGUGAAAGUUGAGACCUCUGUCGUGGAGGGCAUCGACGCCCGGACCUGACGUUUUCUGAAGGAUCCGCGGUAGAGCAUGUAUGUUGGGACCCGAAAGAUGGUGAACUAUGCCUGAAUAGGGUGAAGCCAGAGGAAACUCUGGUGGAGGCUCGUAGCGAUUCUGACGUGCAAAUCGAUCGUCAAAUUUGGGUAUAGGGGCGAAAGACUAAUCGAACCAUCUAGUAGCU